rnacentral:lncRNA from 1 species
CCAUCCCCAUCCCCAUCCCCAAAUCCUUUUUCUUCACCAUCAUCUUCCACCACCAUCGACGUCGGUUGAGUUAUCCGGACACACCAAAUCCUAACAAAAACCAAGCAAAAACUUUUGCACUAAAUUACAAUAGUCGAAUUUGAAAAUCACAGCAGAGACUUGAAUUAUAGUUGUCGAAUUCGAAAAUGGUAAAACAGGAUUCAAGAAUUACAGUAGCAGGUUAGAAAACAGAGGCUGAAUUUAAGAAUUAUAGCGGCAACUAGAAGAGAGUCUUCGAACAAUAAACCAUGUUCGAUGAAUUUGGGAGUUAAUUCAGAAGCUUUUUGUUGUGUAGAGAAAAUGGAAAAUGGGCGGUGGUGCUGGGUUCAAGUUUUUUCGUGAAAUUGAGCAGGGAAUAGGCGAAGGAGAUGGAGAAAAUUUCUGUGAAAUUGAGCGGUAGUGUUGGGUUCGAUAUUUUUAUGAAGUUUCUUCCAUACCAUUAUUAGGAUUUGCUUUCAAUCAAAGGCAAUU